rnacentral:lncRNA from 1 species
UUAUAGUUUAAUCUACUUUGAAUAUUAUGUGAUUUUAAUUAUAUAUUCAAGUAAUUUAUUUGGUAUGAGUUCAUAUAUUGAAUCUCUAUCAACAUUUUAAAUUAAUGAUGUCAUCUCAAUGUGUACCACAGAGAUAUGUCUCCUUAGAUGAGCAGCCAAAAUUCCAAAGUGCUUUUGUUAUAUAGUAGAAAACAUAUAUAAUGCUGACUUAGAACUGGAUUAAUGGCUAUGAUGUAGGAUUACAUUUAGAACAGAAUUCCAAGCUCCAAUCUUUGAGAUCAUCUAAUCCAACAAAUAAAGAAACUGAAGCCUUGACAAAACAAGUGCCUUGUCCAAGUUUACACAUGGUUGUUAGUAGCAAAGCCUGGACAAAAAUUCAGGAGUCAAAAGUACCUUUUUGACUCUAUCAUACUGCUUCUCAUGGGAGUCGGACUUGGCACAUGAUAUAACUUGCAACUAUGCAAUGAGAAACAGGUUAGAAUGGGGUUAAAUUAUAUGAUGAUAAAAUAGGGGAAUACAUAUGCAAUAAAAUCUAAAGAACUGAGAAUUCCAUUUCAAUUCACUUCUAUAUGAGAUAAACUUAGUUGUGUGGAAAAUUCUUUUUUCUUAAAUAGUAUUACUGUGGAUGUGGUCAGUAGGGUCAUGCCAGUAAAUCUUUCUGGUUCUAUUCAGGCCAGUGGUUUCCUGGAAGUCAAUUAGCCAUUUCAUUAAAAUUUUUUUUUUUUUUAAAUGAUGAUGUCCUGAUUACUAAAUGUCAUAAAUCAACCAGGAAGGAAGGAAAGAAACAGAAGGAAAAAAGAAAAAGAUAGAUAUCCUGGUAUUACCUAUGUAGUAAUAAUACACUCCUUGAGAGAUACCUGCUUAUAUGGGGGUGCAUUAAUUCAGACCACUAAGGUAGCAUUUAAUGAUGUAACAAUUCAUUAAAUGGAAUACUUGAGCCAAAAUGGUUACACAUUGCUAUAUAGAGUUGUAAAUAUAGUCCUUUAAAAAUCUAUAUGCAUACUUAGCAAAAAAAAAAGCUUUCUUAAACAUCUAAAAAAAAU